UUCAGGCAUUUGUUUUAAAGACACUAGAUUGGGCACUAUCUGUAUUUAGAUUAAAAUCCUCCCCCACAAGGUUUGCAGUAUAAUAUCUGUGGUACUGGCAUGUGCAGCACUGCCCGAAGAAUGGAACUGGCUGGAAAUUCCCUCAUCUGCAUAAAUGCAAAUGACUAAAGAAGUUGGACUGGUGGGAGAAAUAUGAGUAGAUUGUGGAUUUUAUUCUUCCUUUAUUGAUGUAAAUUGCAGGCAUGUGUAAUGAUAUUUGUGAUUUUAAAGUAGGCUGUGUCCCUUCAAAGAAAAUGUGAGCUCAUAAAUCCUGGGAGAUUAGAGAUCCUGAGGCCCGAUGUGGCAACGGCUCCGGGUUUAUGGCAUUCCUCAAGACAGCCAGGAUAGGAUGUUCUGUGACCUGGCUUUUAUGAAGAUCAAAAGGCUUCAGACUGUUGAGAAUAAGAUUUUCACAUCAUGCAGGGGGAGACACCAAGCUGUCAAAUGGGAGGAGGCUCUUUGAAGUGUGGAGAUAAGGACCCUGCUAACCUUCAGUCAGGUAUGAAAGCCUUUUCCAGCGGCACAGGAGCGUGUCCUUCCAUUGGACCUUUCAUGGAAUAGCCCAGCUGAGUUCAUUCAGAUUCCUCAAAGGGGCUGGCAUUGGCAGCUGCAUCAUCGUGGUGCCUUGAGAAAGCACUUCUGCACAGUAUUUCUCAUGUAAGCAAAAGCUCUCAGCACUGAAAAUCUUCCCAAAAAAGUAUUCCCCUGAGCUGACUGUGAAACCAAGAAUGAGAGACAAGCGUGAACCUUCCUCCAGCCCCUUCUGUCAUCUGUGCAUGCUCGUGCCACGUGUCACUACAAACUGUUGGGACAUCUGGAACGGGUUCAUGAAAGUUCCUCUGUCUGGUUCAGUGCCUGGUCACAGCGAGUUUUCCUGGCACAAGUGAGUGGAAAGAGCACUUUGGCAUGGAGAGGAAAUGAGCAGUGGAGGGUGAAAGGUGUCCUGGCAGGCACUUCCCAUCUGUGUCCUUAUCUCCCAGGCUCUUCAAAGGCUCCCCAGAUACCGUGUCCUGCAAGUUCAAAACCCUGCAGCCCACUGGGACUGGAAAUGUGUGAAGGAGCACAAGAAUUGGAGUUGAAUGACAGUGAUAAAUACAGAGCCGCCUGCCCCUGGGGGCCAUGCACUUCGUUCCUCCCCCCAGAGUGUGCAAAUAUUUGCAGCAGAGCAGCCUCUGAGCUCGGAGACGUGAGCAGCGACACGAGGAGGUGCAGCCCAGGGCAGGGGCAAGGCCAGAGGGUGUGAAACCAGCACACAGCCCCCGGGGUAAGUGGCCUGCAGAGUUUAGGAAGCUCCUGCCUGGUCUC
rnacentral:lncRNA from 1 species